CAAUAGCGUAUAUUUAAGUUGCUGCAGUUAAAAAGCUCGUAGUUGGAUUUCGGGUGGGAAUGGCCGGUCCGCCGUUUCGGUGUGCACUUGCUACGCCCACCUUGCUGCCGGGGACGUGCUCUUGAGUUCACGCUCGGGACACGGAGUCGGCGAGGUUACUUUGAGUAAAUUAGAGUGUUCAAAGCAGGCCUACGCUCUGAAUACAUUAGCAUGGAAUAACACGAUAGGACUCUGGCCUAUCUUGUUGGUCUGUAGGACCGGAGUAAUGAUUAAGAGGGACAGUCGGGGGCAUUCGUAUUUCAUUGUCAGAGGUGAAAUUCUUGGAUUGACGAAAGACAAACUGCUGCGAAAGCGUCUGCCAAGGAUGUUUUCAUUGA
rnacentral:rRNA from 1 species